UACGAAGGGUGCAAGCGUUACUCGGAAUUACUGGGCGUAAAGCGUGCGUAGGUGGUUUGUUAAGUCUGAUGUGAAAGCCCUGGGCUCAACCUGGGAAUGGCAUUGGAAACUGGCGAGCUAGAGUGCGGUAGAGGGUAGUGGAAUUCCCGGUGUAGCAGUGAAAUGCGUAGAGAUCGGGAGGAACAUUCGUGGCGAAGGCGGCUACCUGGACCAGCACUGACACUGAGGCACGAAAGCGUGGGGAGCAAACAGG
rnacentral:rRNA from 1 species